rnacentral:lncRNA from 1 species
CUGGACACCAUUACGCUGCACGAUAUCCAGGGGAGAGGAGCGGUUUUCAUCGUAACCUUCCUCGCAUCUGGCAUCAGCCUCAGGGCACAAGCACAGCCUUCAGAUUCUCGAACUUGAGGAGAAACCGUGUGGCCAGAAGUGCAGAUCCCAGCACGGCCCAGGGCAGCACACGUGCUUCUGGGAAGCCACAGGCGGACAGGCUUCCUCUGGGCUUGCUGUGGAUGCUACAUAAUGGGAGACAGGGACACUGGAC